AAAAACUUUGUUGAAGUCCAACUCCCUCUUCUCUAAAUCUUUUCUUUUUUUUAUAUUAAUUAAAUCACCAUUUAUGUGUAUUAGGGACUUCCUUACAUGAGUACAAGGUCCCCCUUAGCCUAAUCUAGGCUUAAUACCCUAUUAUGGCAUGAAAUUCCUUAUUUUCCCACCCGGAUGAACAGUAACCCGGACCGACAGCCGGUUACUUCAUCCCAAGUUUGAUCCACUUUUCUAACUCCAAAUUUUAUAAAAUUUUUACCUGACAUUCUACACUCAUAGAAAAUUCCAAAGAGAUAACAUGCAUUGCUAUCGGAGGCUGUUUGGCCUCUGAAACAAUUCACUGAAGUCAGAACUUCGACACAGAUUUUCUGCAGUCUCGGAAGAACCUUGUCGAAUUCCGAUUUCCUCUCUUUUAACCACUUCUAACACUCCU
rnacentral:lncRNA from 1 species